rnacentral:rRNA from 1 species
AUUUAAGGUCUGACCUGCCCACUGAUUUUUUUGAAGGGCCGCAGUAAUUUGACUGUGCAAAGGUAGCAUAAUCAUUAGUUUUUUAAUUAAAAGCUUGUAUGAAGGGUUGGACGAGGUAGAAUCUGUCUCUAUUUAAAUUAUUAUAGAAUUUAAUUUUUAAGUUAAAAAGCUUAAAUUUAAUUAAAAGACGAGAAGACCCUAUAGAUCUUUAUAUGAAUAAUAAUAUUUUUAAUAAAGAAUAUUUAAUUAAUUAUUAUUAUUUAUAUUUUAUUGGGGUAAUAGAAAGAUUAAUUAAAUUCUUUUUUAUUUAUACAUUAAUUUAUGAUUAUAUGAUCCAAUAUUUUUGAUUAAAAGAUUAAGUUACCUUAGGGAUAACAGCGUAAUUUUUUUUGAGAGUUCAUAUCGAUAAAAAAGUUUGCGACCUCGAUGUUGGAUUAAAAAUUAUCUUAGGUGAAGAAGUUUAGGAUUUUGGUCUGUUCGACCAUUAAAUUUUU